UGGGGAAUAUUGCACAAUGGGCGCAAGCCUGAUGCAGCCAUGCCGCGUGUGUGAAGAAGGCCUUCGGGUUGUAAAGCACUUUCAGCGAGGAGGAAGGGUUCAGUGUUAAUAGCACUGUUCAUUGACGUUACUCGCAGAAGAAGCACCGGCUAACUCCGUGCCAGCAGCCGCGGUAAUACGGAGGGUGCAAGCGUUAAUCGGAAUUACUGGGCGUAAAGCGCACGCAGGCGGUUUGUUAAGUCAGAUGUGAAAUCCCCGCGCUUAACGUGGGAACUGCAUUUGAAACUGGCAAGCUAGAGUCUUGUAGAGGGGGGUAGAAUUCCAGGUGUAGC
rnacentral:rRNA from 1 species